UACGUAGGGGGCAAGCGUUGUCCGGAAUUAUUGGGCGUAAAGAGCGUGUAGGCGGUCCGGUAAGUCGGCUGUGAAAAUCCAGGGCUUAACCCUGGACCUGCGUUCGAUACGGGCAGACUAGAGUUCGGUAGGGGAGACUGGAAUUCCUGGUGUAGCGGUGAAAUGCGCAGAUAUCAGGAGGAACACCGGUGGCGAAGGCGGGUCUCUGGGCCGAUACUGACGCUGAGGAGCGAAAGCGUGGGGAGCGAACAGG
rnacentral:rRNA from 1 species